rnacentral:rRNA from 1 species
CCUACGGGGGGCAGCAGUGGGGAAUAUUGCACAAUGGGGGAAACCCUGAUGCAGCGACGCCGCGUGAGUGAAGAAGUAAUUCGUUACGUAAAGCUCUAUCAGCAGGGAAGAAACACUGACCUUACGGUCAGCAGACGGUACCUGAGUAAGAAGCCCCGGCUUACUACGUGCCAGCAGCCGCGGUAAUACGUAGGGGGAAAGCGUUAUCCGGGAUUACGGGUUGGAAAGGGAGCGUAGACGGUGCGCCAAGGCUGGAGUGAAAUGCCGCAGCUUAACUGCGGAACUGCUUUGGAAACUGGCGAACUAGAGUGCGGGAGGGGUAAGCGGAAUUCCUAGUGUAGCGGUGAAAUGCGUAGAUAUUAGGAGGAACACCGGUGGCGAAGGCGGCUUACUGGACCGUAACUGACGUUGAGGCUCGAAAGCGUGGGGAGCAAACAGGAUUAGAUACCCGGGUAGUC